CAUCAAUUUCUAUAAGAAAUUUGGGUUUGAGAUUACAGAAACCAUUCAGAACUAUUAUGCAAACAUUACUCCGCCAGAUUGCUAUGUUCUUACCAAGUUAAUCGCUCAAACUCAGACCAAGAAGUAACCUUUCCAACUCCUGAGUUGUGUCCUACACAAUUGUUUUGAACCCCUUCCUUUUCCUCCCUGUGAAUUUAGUUAGUCAAUUUGG
rnacentral:misc_RNA from 1 species